AAAAUUAUUAUUCGUAAAAGUUGAUUUAUUUUUAGAAUAUUGUAUUGUAUUGUUGUCCCUUAUUUUAGACAGAUCUGUGAGGUCGGUGGGACGUGAGAAAAUUGUUAAUUAACACAAAGGAGAUUCCACUGCAUUGGAGGUCUACAUUUCAAAUAUUAAACGACCAUUAAUCUUAACUAAUAUUUUGGGGUGAAAAACUAAUAAUCUCGUUUU
rnacentral:lncRNA from 1 species